UUAAAAAACUUUUUUUAAAAC
rnacentral:piRNA from 1 species